UACGUAGGGGGCAAGCGUUGUCCGGAAUCAUUGGGCGUAAAGCGCGUGUAGGCGGCCCGAUUAGUCCGCUGUGAAAGUCCAGGGCUCAACCCUGGAAUGCCGGUGGAUACUGUCGGGCUAGAGUCCGGAAGGGGCGAGUGGAAUUCCUGGUGUAGCGGUGAAAUGCGCAGAUAUCAGGAGGAACACCGGUGGCGAAGGCGGGUCUCUGGGCCGAUACUGACGCUGGAGGAGCGAAAGCGUGGGAGCGAACAGG
rnacentral:rRNA from 1 species